rnacentral:rRNA from 1 species
UUUAACACGUGGGUGAUCUGCCCUGCACUCUGGGAUAAGCCUGGGAAACUGGGUCUAAUACCGGAUUCCUCCUUCGGCCGCAUGGCUGGGGGUGGUUUGAAAAACGGUGCAGGAUGAGCCCGCGGCCUAUCCGUUGUACCACCCCAUAUGGCCUACCAAGGCGACGACGGGUAGCCGGCCUGAGAGGGCGACCGGCCACACUGGGACUGAGACACGGCCCAUACUCCUACGGGAGGCAGCAGUGGGGAAUAUUGCACAAUGGGCGCAAGCCUGAUGCAGCGACGCCGCGUGAGGGAUGACGGCCUUGCGGUUGUAAACCGAUUUCACCCAUGACGCGCAAGUGACGGUAGUGGGAGAAGAAGCACCGGCCAACUACGUGCCAGCAGCCGCGGUAAUACGUAGGGUGCGAGCGUUGUCCGGAAUAUCACGGCGUAAAGAGCUGCAAGGCGGUUUGUCGCGAGGUCUGUGAAAACCCGCAGCUCACUGCGGGCUUGCAGGCGAUACGGGCAGACUCGAGUACUGCAGGGGAGACUGGAAUU